rnacentral:misc_RNA from 1 species
GUAGGUGAACCUGCGGAAGGAUCAUUACCGUGGGGACUCGUCCCCAUUGAGAUAGCACCCUUUGUUUAUGAGUACCCUGUUUCCUCGGCGGGCCCGCCCGCCACGAGGACGUCAAAGAAACCCUUGCAGUAGCAGUACCUUCAGUCAAAAAAUAAAUAUCAAAACUUUCAACAACGGAUCUCUUGGUUCUG